rnacentral:rRNA from 1 species
AACGAACGCUGGCGGCAGGCCUCAAACAUGCAAGUCUAGGGGGUGUAGCAAUACAUCACCGGCGGACGGGUGCGUAACACGUGGGAAUAUACCUUUUGGUUCGGAACAACGCAGGGAAAC